AACGAACGCUGGCGGCAGGCUUAACACAUGCAAGUCGAACGCUCCUUCGGGUGGGAGUGGCAGACGGGUGAGUAACACGUGGGAACAUACCCUUUGGUUCGGAACAACGUUUGGAAACGGACGCUAAUACCGGAUACGCCCUUUUGGGGAAAGGCUUUGCUGCCGAAGGAUUGGCCCGCGUUCGAUUAGCUUGAUGGCGGGGUAACGGCCCACCAUGGCGACGAUCGAUAGCUGGUCUGAGAGGAUGGCCAGCCACAUUGGGACUGAGACACGGCCCAAACUCCUACGGGAGGCAGCAGUGGGGAAUAUUGGACAAUGGGCGCAAGCCUGAUCCAGCCAUGCCGCGUGAGUGAUGACGGCCUUAGGGUUGUAAAGCUCUUUCGCACGCGACGAUAAUGACGGUAGCGUGAGAAGAAGCCCCGGCUAACUUCGUGCCAGCAGCCGCAGUAAUAC
rnacentral:rRNA from 1 species